CUUGGUCAUUUAGAGGAAGUAAAAGUCGUAACAAGGCCUCCGUAGGUGAACCUGCGGAGGGAUCAUUAUUGAAUGGUCUUUGACCUUCUACCCCUCAAACCUGUGGAAGCAAAAAAUGUGCUUCGGUGUCCUCCUUUGGGCGCCGCUUUUAUGCAUAAAUCUGUGUGUCGUCUGAAUCAUACACAAGAAUCAAAACUUUCAACAAAGGAUCUCUUGGCUCUCGCAUCGAUGAAGAACGCAGCGAAGCGCGAAAUGUAGUGUGAAUCGCAGAACAUUGUGAAUCAUCGAAUCUUUGAACGCACAUUGCGCCUCUCUUAACAGGGAGGCAUGCCUGUCUGAGUCUCAUUUAAUCUAUAAACCCGAUUGGGUUUGUGCCUGGGCGUUCGCCUGACCGGCGUCGCCUCAAAGUCAUCUGUCUUAUGAGCGGACGAGAUCCUUUUGGACUGACCGUUUGUGUGACCCUAAAUCUCUGAUUUGAGCUCAGAUCAGGUAGGACUACCGCCUGAACUUAAGCAUAUCAAUAAGGCGAGGAACAGAAACCAACAGGGAUUCCCCUAGUAGUGGCGAAUGAAGCGGGAAAAGCUCAAGUUUGAAAUCUGGCGGGUGACCUCCAGAGUUGUAAGCUGAAGAGGCAUAGACCGACGCGGUCCGGGCUCAAUUUCCUUGGAACAGGAGGUCAUGGAGGGUGAGAACCCCGUCUGUGGCUUGGGGUGCCGUCGUCCUUGUGUCUUGCCCUCGUAGAGUCGGGUUGUUUGGGAAUGCAGCUCAAAAUGGGUGGUAAAUUUCAUCUAAGGCUAAAUAUUGGCGAGAGACCGAUAGCAAACAAGUAGAGUGAUCGAAAGAUGAAAAGUACUUUGAAAAGAGAGUGAAACAGUACGUGAAAUUGUUGAAAGGGAAGCGUUUGGCAUCAGCCCAUGGCGCCCAAAGAUCAUCCGGGCUUCUGUCCGGUGCACUUUUUGGGCGUCGGGCCAGCGUCGACUUUGCCUGCUGGAGAAAGGCCUUGGGGAUGUGGCUCCCUUCGGGGAGCGUUAUAACCCUUGGCGUCAUGCAGUGUGGUGGGGUCGAGGUCCACGGUUUAUCCUAGGACGCUGGCGUAAUGGUUCCAAGCGACCCGUCUUGAAACACGGACC
rnacentral:rRNA from 1 species